rnacentral:lncRNA from 1 species
ACAUGCCCCGAGAUGCUGCAGAUGUUACAAAUCGGAUCAUUCCUGCAGUCGCGAGCUAUGUGACCUGAAGUCCUGCAGUUCUUGCACGCCUUCUCGUUUGUGCAGUCAGCGGCGAGAUGUCCCGGUUUGAAGCAGUUGUUGCAGAGCCUGAAGUCUCCUGAACGAGAAUCCGGAUUAGGGCAGUCUCUUGCUCGAUGUCCAGAUUUGCCACACGAGUGACAGAUUCCUUCGUUUGAACAGUUUGAGGCUACAUGGCCCGGUUCUCUACAGUUCCAACACCGCGAUUCCGCCGUGCAUUCUGCUGCAAUGUGCCUGCAGAGAGAGUUAAAGAAACAUCACGAAACGCAUAUAGACAGAGGUAAUUCCGUAUUUAAUUUAGGGAGGACAUAUAUACCCCGGAAGACCACAGUUGUUACAGACGGAAACAUUAGAACAGUCUCUCGCAAAGUGACCAGGUCGCUUGCAGUUGUUGCAGAGAUUUCCUUGGCUAAACAAGAUCAAAAAGUUGGGACAAUCAUGUAACCACACCAGAUUGAAACAAAGUAGUUACAAGAUAACUCGAUUCAAAACGUAUGUAUGCACGCAAACAGUUGAACUUAAACCAACCCAACACUGUCAAUUAAAUAAAAGAAACAAUUGAAGACGAACAUUGAAAGAAAAACAGAAAUUAAACCUGAUCCUCAUCAUCUAAUCACACCAUCUUGAUAAAGAGUAGAAGAGAGAAAAAGGUUGGAGACAAGAAAAGUUUAUUCAGCAUAUCUGAGUCUUAAGCAGGCAUCUAUGUUAGCUAUAAGCAUAGGAUUGUGGCUAAAUUGCCAGCUCGGCUUAGCUAACCUUUAUGUCAACCUCAAUGUCAGUUAGUAUGAGAAGGUUACAUAGAAGGGAAGCAUAAGGAGAGAUGGAAUUCCAGAAUGUUGUAACGGUUUUGGGGUCGAGAAUGAAACGGUUAAUAGUGAAGAAGAAAGGGUCAAGACAUAAAAAAGAAAGACCUGAAGGCACGACGUGGCUCCCUUCUAGAAGGAGCAUCACGGUA